rnacentral:lncRNA from 1 species
GGCAUUGUCCCAAGAUUGGAAUGAAUUGUUCUAAGAACUGUGGGGAGAGCAUAUCUGAAAUCACUCCUUUAGAAGCUGCUGGAGGCUUGGGACCAUGGAACGGUAAAAUGUCAACUUGAAGGAAAUUAAGGGAUUCAAACCAUGAGCUUGACCUUAGAGAGAGAAGGCUGAUUCCUGAGUGACGCCAGUGGAGGGAACCACAGCCACAGUGGAUCUAGGCAGAGGAAACUAUCUGAGCACAAAGCUUCAGAGGUUCCCAAACCAGCUGAAAGCUGAAACAAGAAAGAGCAGGACAGAUAGGUCUUCAUUCCAGUGUACAGGUGACAGGUCAUGUGUGUUCUCUGAAAGCCAUUGAGCCAAUGUCACAUAGUGGUUUACAUCUGACCUUGGAAGCAGACUGUGAAGGGUCACAAUGCUGAUCCUGUCACUUCCCACUGCGUGAACUCCGGAAUCUCAUCUCUGAGAUUCAACUCUCUGAGCCUCAUCUGCAAAAUGGGGCUAGAACCCAACUCCCAAGGUUGUGUGAAGAGUCAAUGAGCAAGUACAAGCCCACCUGGCACACAGGGAAGGCUCGACUAUAGAGCUCCUGUUACUCCUACCCCAUGAGCCUCUGGGAGGAGCAUAUGAGACACUACAUCUGUAAACAUCUGUGAAGACUGCAAACCGCCAUGCAAUCUCAAGGGGUCGUCAGUUUGUUUAAUUCUCCAUGAGACCUACCUCCAUAGUUCAUCAGAGGUCUGGACAAAAUCUCAAACCACAGUGGAAAGGAGUGCUCCUUCUGUAUCCGGAUGGGUACCUACAACUUGUGUUUUCAGGAACUUGGAGGACAAAGUGACUUCUUUGAACGCAUCUGGUCAGGUAGAGGCCAACACUGCUGGCAGCCAUGCUCCUCACCUGAACGACUACAAACUUCAUCAAGGCGGUUGUACCCAUUUUGGAGUGCAUUCAGCUACAAGUAACAGAAACUUGACAGUGGCUUCAACAAAUAAGGAUUCACUUUUGUCAUCUAAAAAAGAAGUACAGAGGUAGUGGCUGCUGGUAAUGUUUCAGAACCUCAACAAUGUCACAAUGUCUCUUUGA